rnacentral:rRNA from 1 species
UACGAGGGGGGGCAAGCGUUGUUCGGAAUUAUUGGGCGUAAAGGGUGCGCAGGCGGCCAAGUGUGUCAGGUGUGAAAUCCCGAGCUUAACCUCGGAACUGCGCCUGAAACUACUUGGCUAGAGUACUGGAGAGGGUAACGGAAUUCACGGUGUAGCAGUGAAAUGCGUAGAUAUCGUGAGGAACACCAGAGGCGAAGGCGGUUACCUGGACAGUUACUGACGCUCAGGCACGAAAGCGUGGGGAGCAAACAGG